rnacentral:rRNA from 1 species
AUUGAACGCUGGCGGCAGGCCUAACACAUGCAAGUCGAGCGGAUGAAGGGAGCUUGCUCCUGGAUUCAGCGGCGGACGGGUGAGUAAUGCCUAGGAAUCUGCCUGUUAGUGGGGGAUAACGUCCGGAAACGGGCGCUAAUACCGCAUACGUCCUGAGGGAGAAAGUGGGGGAUCUUCGGACCUCACGCUAUCAGAUGAGCCUAGGUCGGAUUAGCUAGUUGGUGGGGUAAAGGCCUACCAAGGCGACGAUCCGUAACUGGUCUGAGAGGAUGAUCAGUCACACUGGAACUGAGACACGGUCCAGACUCCUACGGGAGGCAGCAGUGGGGAAUAUUGGACAAUGGGCGAAAGCCUGAUCCAGCCAUGCCGCGUGUGUGAAGAAGGUCUUCGGAUUGUAAAGCACUUUAAGUUGGGAGGAAGGGCAGUAAGUUAAUACCUUGCUGUUUUGACGGUACCAACAGAAUAAGCACCGGCUAACUUCGUG